GACGAAGAUAUUGUGCAGCCGCCGCU
rnacentral:sRNA from 1 species